rnacentral:misc_RNA from 1 species
AGCAGCCGCGGUAAUUCCAGCUCCAAUAGCGUAUAUUAAAGUUGUUGCAGUUAAAAAGCUCGUAGUUGAAUUUUGGGUCUGGCCGGGCGGUCCGCCCUCUGGGUGAGCACUGUUCCGACGCCGGGCCUAUCCUUCUGGUGAGUCGGCAUGUCCUUUAUUGGGUGUGCCGGGGAACCAGGACCAUUACCUUGAAAAAAUUGAGUGUUCAAAGCAGGCGUAUGCUCGGAUACAUUAGCAUGGAAUAAUGAAAUAGGACGCGUGGUGCUAUUUUGUUGGUUUCUAGAACCGCCGUAAUGAUUAAUAGGGAUAGUUGGGGGCAUUAGUAUUCAAUUGUCAGAGGUGAAAUUCUUGGAUUUAUUGAAGACUAACUUCUGCGAAAGCAUUUGCCAAGGAUGUUUUCAUUAA